CUUCCACUCCACCGCUUCCGCCGCAUCCCAAGUCGCCGUCCUUCCGAUCCCCCCUCCCCUCCUCUUUCUCUGCUCCGGACACCCCAUCUCCGUCGAACCGGACGCCCCAUCCACCUCUGGACGGCCCUCCACCUCUACGGGUGGCGGCGGCGUCGGCGUCGGCGUCGGCGUAGCAAGGUCAGUGAGAAAUGGCGCCGCCCGGGUCGCGCCGAUGGGCGUACGUGCGGAUCAUGGCCGGCACCAUCCUCGGCGGCGGCCUCGGCUUCUACGUCAUGCACCGCAUCGAGACCUCCUACAAGGUGAGGAUGGAGGAGAGGCUGCGGAGGUACGAGGCGCACACGCUCGCCAAGGAGAAGGAGGCGCAGCAGCUCCAGGACGAGGGGCGCCGCGAGGACCAGGCGCAGGUCUUGCCGGACUCGUGAUUUCCUCUCAACUCUCAUCCUCAUGCUCAGGCUCGCCUUCCCGAGCUGUUUGAACAUAAUCUAGCGGCACAAAGCUCCCGAGAAGUAUCUGCCAUGUACUUCUGGCGCCUACUUUGUGAACAUGAAGAGUUCUUUUUCUUCUUGCCCUUUUUUUGUGGAGAUGAGUGUGCAUCAGUUGAGAGUUGAGCCUAACUGCAAGUACUGUAACAUUCGGACCUGCUGUGAAAAUUGAUGGUAGCUGUAUGAGUAUGCUUCGAUCGCAACUUUCAACAUGCCACCUGCAGGGUUAGGGUGUGGGUAAUGCUCGCCCAAACCCGUAUCUGUACCUCGGGUUUCAUAUUGUUUCCAUACCCGUACCUGGCCGGGUGUGGAUAAUACCUAUGGAUAAAAAUAUCCAUUUCGGGCAUCUUUUGGUUCACAUUUUAUCAUGUAUAAUUUUAGCAUUUCCGUAUGUAAACACGACAUUUAAGCAUGUAUAUUAGCAUUUCAGCCGAGGUGAGAUGAGGAGA